GUCAAUUGACGGGUGCUAUAAUGCAGUCGAGCGAUGGAUUAAGAGCUUGCUCUUAUGAAGUUAGCGGCGGACGGGUGAGUAACACGUGGGUAACCUGCCCAUAAGACUGGGAUAACUCCGGGAAACCGGGGCUAAUACCGGAUAACAUUUUGAACCGCAUGGUUCGAAAUUGAAAGGCGGCUUCGGCUGUCACUUAUGGAUGGACCCGCGUCGCAUUAGCUAGUUGGUGAGGUAACGGCUCACCAAGGCAACGAUGCGUAGCCGACCUGAGAGGGUGAUCGGCCACACUGGGACUGAGACACGGCCCAGACUCCUACGGGAGGCAGCAGUAGGGAAUCUUCCGCAAUGGACGAAAGUCUGACGGAGCAACGCCGCGUGAGUGAUGAAGGCUUUCGGGUCGUAAAACUCUGUUGUUAGGGGAAGAACAAGUGCUAGUUGAAUAAGCUGGCACCUUGACGGGUACCUAACCAGAAAGCCACGGGCUACUACGUGGCCAGCAGCCGCGGUAAUACGUAGUGGCAAGCGUUAUCCGGAAUUAAUGGGCGUAAGCGCCGCAGGGCCUUCUAAAGUCUGAGUGAAAGCCCACGCUCAACCUCGGAGGUCAUGGGAAACUGGGGAAACUUUGUGCCAAAAAAGGAAAGGAGAAUCCUACUGGUGUAGCGCAAAUCGG
rnacentral:rRNA from 1 species